GGGAGAAAACUGCAGCAGCUUGAUCAGCAUAUCUGGGAGAUGAGAUUUCAGCAGAAAAAAGCUCUUCAAGGUUUGAUGGAGUUAGCACUUUGGACCAACCAGAUCGAUUAAAAGAUGCAGAAUUGUUACGUGACUGUGAAAAACAUGUCAAAUCAUUUAAAAUCUGUUGCCGGGCAUCAAAAUCAGGCAACAAAUUAAGAUCCUCAGGUGGAAUAUCUCGGGCACUAAGGGAUGAUCUCAA
rnacentral:misc_RNA from 1 species